GAUGAACGCUGGCGGCGUGCCUAAUACAUGCAAGUCGAGCGAACGGACGAGAAGCUUGCUCCUCUGAUGUUAGCGGCGGACGGGUGAGUAACUCGUGGUUAACCUACCUAUAAGACUGGGACAACUUUGGGAAACCGGAGCUAAUACCGGAUAAUAUUUUGAACCGCAAGGUUCACAAGUGAAAGACGGUCUUGCUGUCACUUAUAGCUGGAUCCGGGCUGAAUUAGCAAGUUGGUAAGGUAACGGCUUACCAAGGCAACGAAGCAUAUCCGACCUGAAAGGGUGAUCGACCACACUGGAACUGAGACACGGUCCAGACUCCUAGGGGAGGCAGCGGAAGGGAAUCUUACGCAAGGAGCGAAGGCCUGACGGAGCAACGCGGGGGGAUGGAUGAAGGUCUCCGGACCGGAAAACGCUGUUGUUAGGAAGGAAGAUAUGUGUAAGUAACCGUGCACAUAUUGACGGUACCUAAUCAGAAAGCCACGGCUAACUACGUG
rnacentral:rRNA from 1 species